rnacentral:misc_RNA from 1 species
UUCAUCAUCCCUACGAAGAUAGCUAAAUUUUUAUGUUGCUUUUUCCAUAAAAUUUGUUUGAAUUUUAACCAAUAAAACGUGUAGUUUUCUACUAGCACAAGCGACAAUCGGUGAGAAAAUGUUCGGCGGCAAUGAGUGUAAUGUGCUGAGUGCUAGAGCAAGUAAUAUGGCCCAAAUGAGCGCAAACGAACCCUUUGACGAUGAGCUCUUUGAGACGCGCCUAGAGGCGCUGAAGGACACACAGGAGGGCAUACAGCAGAUGUCGAAUUGGUGCCUGCAGCACCGCCUCAACCAUAAGAAGAUCAUCCAGUCCUGGCUCAACGUUUUCAAAAGAGUGCGUGUGGAUCAUCGAUUGGUGCUCUUCUAUCUGGCCAACGAUGUCAUACAAUAUAGCAAGCGGAAGCGAUACGAAUUCGUGGAAUGCUGGGCCACAGCCCUCCAAAGAGCCACCACCAUGGUGCGAGAUGAACGUGUCAAGGAUAAGAUAUUGCGCAUCUUUAAGAUCUGGGAACAGCGUGAAAUCUACAAUGAGGAAUAUCUGAGCGAUCUCAGCGGUCUGCUCAACAUUACGCCGCCAAAGAAAUCGCAAAUUGAUGCCAGCGACGAGUUCCAGAAUGCCACACUCAUUGCCCAGGUGCGCGAGUGCGUGGAACUGGCGGAGGCCACCGACAAGAGCAUGAAGAAGCUGCCGAAGCCACCGCAUCUAGAGAUCGAGACCAUCAAGCAGCAGCUCAAGGACAAGAGCCACUCGGGGGACAUUGAAAAGGAAGUGGAACGCUGUGUGGCCUUUAUAAAUGCCUACAACAAGAAUUUGCAAAACGAAAUCAAGAGCCGCAAGGCAGUGCUUGCCAGCGUGGAGGCGGCUAAAAAGUUUUACGAGCAUCAAGGCAGAGAGGUCAAAGUGGUGGCCAGUGCCUAUAAAAGUUUCGGCACACGCAUAAAGAUUGUGAAAAGGAAGCUGGAUGAGACCAUACCCACGCUGCAAAGUCCCAUACCAUCGCCGGACAUAAAUGCGCCAUCGCCCGAGCGUGAUGCAGAUCUCCAGCUGCCCGACGAGACAAGUCCGCCAUUGGGAAUGAACAUGUUCAGCGGCGGAUUGAAUGGUUUCUCCAGCUAUUUGGACAGCGGCAAGCUCCCUUUCGACAUCAAUGACUUCAAGCGGGACUCGAAGGAUCUGGGAAGCGCCAUCGAGGUAAUUGGCUCGCGUUCGGAUGAUGAGGCCUAUGCGCCGAGCGCCAAUUUCUACAAACCAGAGCCCCUCUCCAGCUACAGCAACAACAACAGCAGCGGCAGCGCUGGCGGUGGCAACAACAGCUCCAUACCUGGCCUGGGUGGAGGAGUAGGAGGCGGCGGCGGCGGCGGGUCUGGUGGUGGCGGGGAAUACAAUCCCAAUCAUUCGCAGUUUGACAGUCCAUUGGCACCGUCUGCGAUUUUUGGUUCCAACAACCAGGAACAGUAUGUGCCUCCGCUGCCCUCGCAUCAUGGCUAUGGGGGAAAUAGUGGCGGCGGUCAGGAUGCACAAUAUACACCCGCUCCAAUGCCUCCACCCCCAUUGCCACCAUCCAUUGGCUCGACUGGCGGCGGCGGUGGCGGCGGAAAUGGAGGAGAUGACUUCAACAGCACCUGGAACAUGAGCAUGUCGUGGACGCCGCUGGACACCAGUUUAAAUAGCAGCGGUGCCAGUUCCUCCGCCUAUAAUCCGCAGUCCACGCCGCAUUCACCGCCCCAUUUCGAGCGCAAGGCCAGUGUCGCCCCGCCAGAGUACAGCGAGCAUUUGCACAAUAAUGCCGCAGCACUGGGCGCCGAGGAUGUGGAUCAUCGCACGCUCCAGCUGCCGCCGGCCUUUAAUUUCGGGGCAAAGCUGGGUCUCAGCCAGGACAAGACACGCCAGCUGGUAGAUAUUGAUCAUAGGAAUCUUAUAUCCCUCACUGGUUCCCCUGGCGGUGCAGAUAAGGAUUUUGGUGGUGGUGGUGGGGAUGUGGACUAUCGCAUUGUGCCAGGCUCUGCUGAUGAGGGCAUCAUGGCUCCGCCUGGCAAUAGCUAUGCCAAGACCAAGACCAGCUCUCCGCACAAAUCCAAUGCGAGCUCUUCAUCGGAAUCCGAUCGUUUAGAUGGCGGUACACGCUAUGAUCCUGCAGAUAUGGUCAUAGAUAUGGACAUGUCGGACGAUGAUAUCGAUGAGUCGCAGCGAGAACCCAAGGAGGAACUGGAGGAGGCUGAAGUGGAUGCCAAUGGUGGUUUGACGCCAUCGCGUCCUGUACUUUUGGAAACCCCCACAGAUUUUAUGAAUCCCUGGGAGUCGAACAACAGUUUUCUGGGCCAGCCAAUGCAGGAUAUGUCCGGGGAGCAGGACCAGCAGCAGCAGCAUUCACCGCUUGGCCAGCAGCAGCAGCAACCAUGGAAUCAAAUGCCUCAAAUGCAUAUAGGAGCGGGAGCACCGCCGCCGCCGCAACCGCCGUAUGGAGCUCCCUUUCCGUAUCAGCGUUACGGGCCACCCAUGAACAGUCCGGACAACAUGCAGCAGCGUGGCCGUGGACGAGGUCGCGGCUGGUCGAACCAGGGACCGUAUCCAAGAGCACCCUAUCAGCGGCCGCCUGGACCUUACGAUGGUGGACCCGGACCUGGGCCACGACCGUUCUAUGCACGCGGUGGCGGUGGUGGGCCUGGAGGCGGCGGCAGCAUCGGUGGUCAGAUGCGUGGACGUGGGCGCAUGCGUGAGUUCAUAGAGCGGUGGCUUAGUGACGGGAAACAUAAGCAGUUCCCAUAGUUCGCAUAGCAUUUACAAAUGACUAUGUUUAAAUCAAUUGAUAUUUGGUCGGUAUCCUGCCAAAGGAUCUAAGGCAGCGCUAGGGUCCUGUUUAAGGAUCACUGUUUACCUGUUGACGUUUGCGGCUCUUAAUCACUUCUGUUUGGAGGUCCGGCCCCUCUCUCGCUCUAUCUUCUGUCGUGUCGGAAGUCGGAAUUCAUUAAUCGUGUGCUGAUUGACCAAGGAUUAUUUUUAUAAAAAUAAUAUACAUACAUAAUUUUAAAAAAGAUUCCCAUGCACUC